GGCACCUCUCCCUCCCUCACGUUAUCCAAUGCCAUCUGAAGCCUUCUCGACCCGUACCAAUCUCUCUCUCUCUGUGCCCCGCCUCCGUCUGCACCUUCAAGGAGCACACCUAGUGCGUCUACUGCGGCGACUGCACCGCACGCGUCGGGGACGUGCUUGAGCCUAGAUCCACCAUGAUCAAGGUCUGGUAGCGGCGGCGCCGAUUUCAGGGACUUGCUUCGGAGUUCCUCAGGUCCUGUCUCGUUUUCUUAAGAUUUUCGAGCUCUACUCCUGGUUUCUUUGGUCUUUGGAUUUUUGUUUUUUGUGGAAGCGUGAAUUUGAUAGAGGUUGCGUUUUUUUUUUUUUUUUUUUUUUUUAGAGUUUGAGGAAUCAAUUGCAUGAGGAGCUUUUUGGGUUUUCAGAAUCUUUUUUCAGCUUCGAGAUGAAGAAAUUAGGGUUUUUUUUCGAUGAUUGGAGGAUUCUCUAAUCCGGAGAUUGCUUUUGGUUCAGUCUGGACCUGAUUUUGAUGUUUUUGAUUUAUUGUUGAACUUGUUUGGGGAGCUUGUUUGUAUUGGUUGUGGUAAAAUUGAUUUUUGGCAUUUAUGAUUGUCGAUUCGGUUUGUUGUGUAGAUGAGUUGAAGUAAGUUCUUGUCUUGACUGAAAAGAGAAGAGGUUCUUGGCUGCAUUGGUCAGUUUUAUGUGGUGAAAGUAAUGUUCAUACAGAGCUAUUUUUGCAUUGGAGCAAGAAGCACAGUUUGCUCCAUAACCUUAGCAGUGUUACUGACAUUUUCCUGAUCGUAAUGGUUCAAUUCACGUGAUGUUGGUGUGUGGGAGUUUCUUAUUGUUGGUAGCAGAUUAUUGAAUGACUUGAUGCCUCUAGGUUGUCUUGAACUUUCAAGUUGUUUGGAAUCAAGGAUAACUGAUGGUGCAGCUGCAAUGUUCUCUCAACAUGCUUGAACAAUACUGGGUAUGUUUCACCAUUGAUAUCUUUUGUCUCUGACUGGUAUCUCCUGAACCAUAUAAUUGAUGCAUUCGCGAAAUACAAGUCAUUUUUAGUAAAAAAAAGUUACCAAAUCCAAUGGUUUGUACUUUGUAGCUAGCGCAUUGGUACGUAUGUAAUAGUGACCCAUAUAAAUCCAUAUUCUGCUUUUGAUUAAGACAUGUUUAUGCAUGAAGGGGAAAUUUCUAAUUUUUAUGUGCUACCUGCUCUAGUUGUAAGGCAUGCAAGACUCUUGAUAACUUUUACCAGUUUAUAUGUUUGAUUAGUUUGUACUAAUAUAUAAAUAAUCAUUUCAGUUAGAUCUAUUAAGUAUGUGGUUCUCUUGUUUAGUUGCAUGAAGCAUGCUAACUACAAUUAGUGUUGGCUUGUUUGUUGGCGUUUUGAUCAUUUUAAUUUGUAAAUUUGUAUUUGGGUGUGUUACUGAGAAGUGAGUUUAUGAAGUUCGCUAAGUGAUUAACCUCAAGUCACCGACAAAGUCACUGACCAUGUCACUGUCAAUCCCUGACCAAGUUGCUGACCAAGUCACAGGCUAAGUUAUUGGCCAAGUUAUUGACCAUUCUACCACCAUUUCUUCUACUGUGCUUAUAUCAUCCUAUAAAGUAUGCAUUUGAGGUUAGACUGGUCUCUUUUCUUUCGGAGUUUUUUUUCUUCUCCUUCUUUAAUUAUUGAAUUUCUAGUGUCGCAUCUUGGUCUGUAUGUUAGUGUGGUUCAUGGUAGUUUUGGAGGUUUGGAUUGGUUAAUUGUGCCAACUUGGUCUAUGUUUUGUUUAUAUUCAAGAACUGAUUAUUUGCUAAAUCAGAAGUUUAUCUUCACUUUAUUACAGCUUUUGGGUAAUUUCUCAAUCCAUUUUGGUUUCUGGAGAAGAUUCGAGAAUGCGUGCUGCAACCCAUGAUGUCCUCUCUACACCUUCUCUCUACCAUAUCAUUAUUUUCAGUUAUCUUACUGAUCUAUUAAUUGCUUAUUGUCAGCCGAAAUACUAACAGAAGAAGGUACAACAGAGAAAAAAGGAAAGACAAGAAGUUCUUUAGCAUGCGAGGCUAUUGCUAUGUUAGUUUGUAGUUUAUGCUUUGUUUUUGUGUGUGUGUGUGUGUCUAUCUUAUCUUGUUGCUGUUUCAUGAUUUCAUUUCAUAUGGUAUUGUGUGUUAAUACUCAUUUGCGAUGGAAGUACAAUUAGUUAGUUUAUCCAUUAUAUGACAGCAUAACACAAUAUGCAUAUAGAUAAUAAACUUCACGGACCCUCACUUGAAGAUGAAAGACUAUGUUGAAUGACCAUGCCUUCAAAUAACCCUCUUUGCCAUAACCAGCCCCUGUUUUGCAUUUUUUUCUUUUUUGAUGCACUGAGUAGACAUUAAAUCUAUACUAGGUUUGAUGCUGAAAUAUGCAUAUAAGUUGAGAUGUUCAUGUCAGUUACAUCCAAUUCAGAUCACUGGCUAAGUCACUGGCCGGGUCAGUGUUAACCUCAAGUCAUUGACCAUGUGACUGGCCAAGUUACUGACCAUGUGACUGGCCAUGUCACUGAUCAUGUAACUGUUAAAGUCACUGAUGAUCUUCUUAUUUUCACAAUUUUGUACAGGAUAUACAAACAGAAGACACAGGGCGGGGUAAAAGAAAACAUAGGGAAGAAAGUGAAAAAGAAGAUUAUGAAGAAGAAGCAAAAAUUCCAACGAGGAAGAAAAAGGAUAUGAAGAAGAGUAGCAAGGACAUACGAAAUUUUAGAAAUUUGUUUAGGGCUUAGGAUAGUGACUUGGCCAAUUGUAAACUCUAGCUUACUAAAUCAAUUAGUUUUUUUAUAUCUUUUUAUGGUGUCACUAUUAUGUUUAGUUUUUCUUAAUGCAACAUUAUUUUUAUAUA